GAAUUUUUCCUUCAUUCAACAUCCAAAUGUACUAAUAUUUUUACAGAUGCGCCCUGGUCUACUUAUCUCUUUUAUUUUUAAUUACUCGUGUUCAUUCGAAUCCCUAAAUUUCUUAGCCGGUUUUAAAGACGUCAUUCUACCUACGUCAUUCGAUCAGGCCGUUUUCCAAAGUAUAUGUUGUAAACAUCACAUUAAUUUUGGGUGCCUUUUUAUUUUAAAAAAGUUUCGGUUGUUGAAUUAGAAAUGAGUAAGUUAUACAGAAAUAAAAAAGGAGUCCCCGCUUUAAUAACCCCAAAGCUGGUUUAAGAUAAGCAAAUCAAAAAUUUUAAAGAUGCAUCGGAAAGGGUCACAUGGUUAAUUAACUGGGAUUCCCUAUAUCCUGUGGUGAAUAAAUUAUUUGUGGUCUCGUAUUAUAAGAUAUUAUAAGACACAGGUAGAUAUGCCAUUAUUUAGGUAGUCAUGAACUUUAGGAUGUUUUUUUAAAGAAAAAGUAUGCAAAAAAUAACGUCAACCCAAAUCAAGAGUAAUCUCUUUUAAAUGAAAACUGUAUAAUAAAAGAAAUAAAACAAAUACUUUAAUUAAGCAAAUUUUGCUUUCUACUGCAGACGAAAAUAGACUGUUAGUAUUAAAAAAAAAAACAUACCUACUCAGACAAAAAAAAACGCCCAUUAAAAGAUAUUGUCAGUCAAUUUUCAAUUUUUCCCGUCGCUUCAAAACUAAAUUUUUAACAGUAAUAGCAAACUUUAUUAGAAUUUAAAUAUUAAAUUUAAAUUUGAAAUUUAUAGCACAAAUGUGUGUACUUAUCAACCAUAAUUAUUUAAUUAAAUAUUUUAAAGGAUAUGACAACGUCCAUAAAAUUAUGAAGUCGCGAUUAAAAUUACAAUCAAUAUUUUGAAGCAUUUCAGAGGUUACUAGACUACAUAAUGGACAAGAGAACCAGAGAUAUACCGGAGAAAUUAGCAAAUAAACGCCUUUUUUGUGGCAAUCUUUGAUACAGGUAUCUAACAACAAAAUUAAACGUCAUAUUUUACUUAUAAACAAUAUAUUUAUAAACAAUGUAAGAUCGGUAUUUGAUUUUAGAUAUUAAAGGUAAAUACUGUAACGUUAUAAACGUCAUAUCUUUGCUAUUUUAUUUUCAAAUAAUUAUUUUAUUCUAUUUUCUUUAAUAAUUCAUUAAUAAUAAUCUUCUUCUAUUUGUUAUAACUUGUUUUCCCGUUAAAAACUUGUUUGGCGCCCUGUUAUAGACAACUCUCUUUUCAUCUAAUCACUCGUGUCAUAUAUCACAAUCAUAAUCAUAAUCACUCGUGUCAAUACGGAACAUACUUCUAUUCUACUCUUUCUAUUCUCGUUUCUGUCAGUAUCAAGCCCCAAUAACUAACUCAUGUCAAGUCAAUCCCUCUUAACAUGGAUGGUUUUUCUAUAAUUUCUCUGAUUAUAAAACCAAGAUUUCAUGGUUCUUUUAUUUUAUUUUCCAAUAGACGUUCUUAAUAAAUUAGGUGUUUUUGGACAAAUUGCAAAACGACACACAACCCUCCACCUCCUGGGAGGAGUCCCUGACUGGAGCCCCCAAUGUCGCCGGCGAUGCAGCAAUAACCAGAACAACUGAACAUCUAACCAACCAACACCUGUAGGCCUGGUGGCGCCGAACAUCUACGACCCCAGAGCCAGUUGCAGAACCAACAGCAAGACAUCAAGAAUCUACAGACAUAAAUACCUUCGGCAAGGUUUUGUAUAUCUUAUGAUAAUACAUUACUUAAUUAUGCCUUUUAUGAAAAAUAAACAUGAUUAGUUA